UGGGGAAUAUUGCACAAUGGGCGCAAGCCUGAUGCAGCCAUGCCGCGUGUGUGAAGAAGGCCUUCGGGUUGUAAAGCACUUUCAGCGGGGAGGAAGGCGAUAAGGUUAAUAACCUUGUCGAUUGACGUUACCCGCAGAAGAAGCACCGGCUAACUCCGUGCCAGCAGCCGCGUUAAUACGGUGGGUGCAAGCGUUAAUCGGAAUUACUGGGCGUAAAGCGCACGCUGGCGGUCUGUCAAGUCGGAUGUGAAAUCCCCGGGCUGAACCUAGGAAAUGCAUUGGAAACUGGGAGGAUAGAGUCUAGUAGAGGGGGGUAGAAUUCCAGGGGUAGCGGGGAAAGGCGUAGAGAUGGGGAGGAAUACCGGUGGGGAAGGCGGCCCCCUGGACAAAGACUGACGCUCAGGUGCGAAAGCGUGGGGAGCAAACAGG
rnacentral:rRNA from 1 species